UGGCUUUGACUUGUGCUAGAGCUAUGUCUGUUCUUUUCCUGCGCAUUGAAAGGACUAUUUAUCCUUUAAAAAUGUAUUUAUAAAGUCAGCAUAUUA
rnacentral:snoRNA from 1 species